UACGUAGGGUGCAAGCGUUGCUCGGAAUGACUGGGCGUAAAGGGCGCGUAGGCGGAUGACACAGUCAGAUGUGAAAUUCCCGGGCUUAACCUGGGGGCUGCAUUUGAGACGUGUUGUCUAGAGUGAGGAAGAGGGGUUGUGGAAUUCCCCAGUGUAGAGGUGAAAAUUCGUAGAUAUUGGGAAGAACACCGGUGGCGAAGGCGGCAACCUGGUCCUUGACUGACGCUGAGGCGCGAAAAGCGUGGGGGAGCAAAACAGG
rnacentral:rRNA from 1 species